GACGAACCGUGCGAACGUUGUUCGGAUUCACUGGGCUUAAAGGGCGCGUAGGCGGACUCGCAAGUCUGUGGUGAAAGCCCCCAGCUCAACUGGGGAAGUGCCGUGGAUACUGCGAGUCUGGAGGAGGGUAGGGGCAUCUGGAACGCUGGGUGGAGCGGUGAAAUGCGUUGAUAUCCAGCGGAACUCCGGUGGCGAAGGCGAGGUGCUGGACCCUUUCUGACGCUGAGUGCGCGAAAGCCAGGGGAGCAAACGGG
rnacentral:rRNA from 1 species